rnacentral:rRNA from 1 species
GACGAACGCUGGCGGCGUGCUUAACACAUGCAAGUCGAACGGAAAGGCCCUGCUUUUGUGGGGUGCUCGAGUGGCGAACGGGUGAGUAACACGUGAGUAACCUGCCCUUGACUUUGGGAUAACUUCAGGAAACUGGGGCUAAUACCGGAUAGGAGCUCCUGCUGCAUGGUGGGGGUUGGAAAGUUUCGGCGGUUGGGGAUGGACUCGCGGCUUAUCAGCUUGUUGGUGGGGUAGUGGCUUACCAAGGCUUUGACGGGUAGCCGGCCUGAGAGGGUGACCGGCCACAUUGGGACUGAGAUGCGGCCCAGACUCCUACGGGAGGCAGCAGUGGGGAAUAUUGCACAAUGGGCGGAAGCCUGAUGCAGCAACGCCGCGUGCGGGAUGACGGCCUUCGGGUUGUAAACCGCUUUCGCCUGUGACGAAGCGUGAGUGACGGUAAUGGGUAAAGGAGCACCGGCUAACUACGUG